UAUUAGUAUUGUAGAUUUCUGAAAGUUAUUUAAUAUUAUUAUUAUUAUGAUUUGUAGUAAUUUGGGUUAAAUAACACAAUAAUAACUGGAUACAAUAAGAUUGCUAAAUAAAAAUGAGGAACUAUUGGAGGGAAGGAAAACAAAAGUCGGAGAAGGAUGUGGAUGAUAAGGUUAUAGGUGAUUCCUUGACAAGGCAUGUGGAGAUAAUAGUCUGCACGGUAAAUAGGGAGAAAAGAAUCCGAUUAUGCUACCCAGGUGGAGGAUGUAAAUGACAGAGCAGAAGUUUAGAGGAUGGAACAGCUGAGAUGAGCCAAUAGGUCCCAUGUUGUCCAAAAAGAUUGUUAUAUUCAGUGCUGUGCAUUCAGCAUAGGUUAAAUGAGUUUAAAUUUGAAUAUCCUUUGCUGGCUAAUUACGAUGUCAACUGAAACUGAUGUGACAUUGCUGUGAAGGAACAGAGAUCACAAGGUGAUGCUUUCCACAAGACAAAGAAAGAAAAUUAAAGUUUAGAAUGCAGAAAUAUUCUUUAUCCAGUUCUCUCCUAGUUCAUCUACAGUAACGACUUAUUUAGUAUUGCAGUAUUCAGUAGAGGGCAAGAAAACUAACUAGUGGACGGAGCAAUGGCUGUCAUCUGUGGGUACAAGAACUAAGUUUUAUUGUUUGAAUAAAGAUUCUGCUUGCUUGUUCAAAA